rnacentral:rRNA from 1 species
GCAGUCGAACGGUGAAGCCAAGCUUGCUUGGUGGAUCAGUGGCGAACGGGUGAGUAACACGUGAGCAACCUGCCCUGGACUCUGGGAUAAGCGCUGGAAACGGCGUCUAAUACUGGAUAUGAGCUCCUUCCGCAUGGUGGGGGUUGGAAAGAUUUUUCGGUCUGGGAUGGGCUCGCGGCCUAUCAGCUUGUUGGUGAGGUAAUGGCUCACCAAGGCGUCGACGGGUAGCCGGCCUGAGAGGGUGACCGGCCACACUGGGACUGAGACACGGCCCAGACUCCUACGGGAGGCAGCAGUGGGGAAUAUUGCACAAUGGGCGGAAGCCUGAUGCAGCAACGCCGCGUGAGGGAUGACGGCCUUCGGGUUGUAAACCUCUUUUAGCAGGGAAGAAGCGAGAGUGACGGUACCUGCAGAAAAAGCGCCGGCUAACUACGUGCCAGCAGCCGCGGUAAUACGUAGGGCGCAAGCGUUAUCCGGAAUUAUUGGGCGUAAAGAGCUCGUAGGCGGUUUGUCGCGUCUGCUGUGAAAUCCCGAGGCUCAACCUCGGGCCUGCAGUGGGUACGGGCAGACUAGAGUGCGGUAGGGGAGAUUGGAAUUCCUGGUGUAGCGGUGGAAUGCGCAGAUAUCAGGAGGAACACCGAUGGCGAAGGCAGAUCUCUGGGCCGUAACUGACGCUGAGGAGCGAAAGGGUGGGGAGCAAACAGGCUUAGAUACCCUGGUAGUCCACCCCGUAAACGUUGGGAACUAGUUGUGGGGACCAUUCCACGGUUUCCGUGACGCAGCUAACGCAUUAAGUUCCCCGCCUGGGGAGUACGGCCGCAAGGCUAAAACUCAAAGGAAUUGACGGGGACCCGCACAAGCGGCGGAGCAUGCGGAUUAAUUCGAUGCAACGCGAAGAACCUUACCAAGGCUUGACAUACACCAGAACACCGUAGAAAUACGGGACUCUUUGGACACUGGUGAACAGGUGGUGCAUGGUUGUCGUCAGCUCGUGUCGUGAGAUGUUGGGUUAAGUCCCGCAACGAGCGCAACCCUCGUUCUAUGUUGCCAGCACGUAAUGGUGGGAACUCAUGGGAUACUGCCGGGGUCAACUCGGAGGAAGGUGGGGAUGACGUCAAAUCAUCAUGCCCCUUAUGUCUUGGGCUUCACGCAUGCUACAAUGGCCGGUACAAAGGGCUGCAAUACCGUGAGGUGGAGCGAAUCCCAAAAAGCCGGUCCCAGUUCGGAUUGAGGUCUGCAACUCGACCUCAUGAAGUCGGAGUCGCUAGUAAUCGCAGAUCAGCAACGCUGCGGUGAAUACGUUCCCGGGUCUUGUACACACCGCCCGUCAAGUCAUGAAAGUCGGUAACACCUGAAGCCGGUGGC